CAGAGUGUGCAGAGGAGCUCUGCUCCCCAUUUGGUGCAAUUACUGACUGAGCACCUGAAAGGGUGAGAUCUCAAAAUACCUCCCAGAAAAGGAUUCGGGUUACAAGGUUGGAUAAGUGGUAAGAGCUGGCAGUAGAUUGCAGAUUCAGGCUUGCUCACUCCAAAGGAAUGUUAGCUCUCUCCACUGCUCUUGCACACCACACCACGUCAUGCCAUGAUACACUGCCUUCCAGCAAGGCAGGGAUGCGCUGUGUUUCUAGAUAAGGAAUAUAUUUACAAAGUUCAAUUUCUACAGGGCAGAAGAGGAAUUAACUUUAUCUGAAAGCGCUCUGUUUGUACCUAGCUUUGUAUUUAUGAACUGCCAGCACAGAAGGCUAUGAUUCCUUUUAAGAAGAUUGACUUGAUCUUUGUUUGAAAAAAUGCAAACAGAAAACUCCUGCUAGCGUAGCCACAUGGAGUGGAACAGAUAAUUUACUUCUGUCAGAAUGCAUUAUUUGUGGAUGUCAGUACUGUGUUCCGAAUAGGAUGUUGAAAUACACUGUGGGUAUGUUACUUAUGUACAUUUCCAGAAAGAUAUAGCUGGUAAGAACAAAUGAGCCGUAAUAAUAGGUAGUUAAAAUGUUAAUGGAAUAAUGGAGGUCAAGCAGAAACAGUCAGUCAGUCAGUUACCAAUAAAAAAAGGAGACAUACAAGAGGUCAUCUUCUUUCUGGAAGACAAAAACUCUCAAUUCAUUAGAGAAUGAGCAUCUACAUGAGCACAACUCCCAGUCUGAUUCCAAUCUGAGCUUAUAGUUUGAUCCCAGUUUGGUCUUUUUCCCAAAUAUUUCUUGUUUGGGGCUUUUAUUUUUGAACAUGAAUUAUUUAAAUUUUGAAUUCAGAAAAUAUUUAUUACUGAAUAUCUGAGUAUUUUUCCUAAACUGAAGUGAACCUGUAAAAAAGAAAAGAGUCAUUAAAAUAGAAAAUAAUUCGAAUAUUUUCUGUAAAUAAGCAGUAGUAAAGUCUCACUGAACUGCUUAUGUGAAGCAGAAGGAAAGCAAAUCUAAGCUUGAAUUUUGACAACUAUUUGAAUGCUUCCAUUGAAUGGUUGAGCUUUCUUGUUAAGCAGUUCACACUAUUUUAUUUACAGACGAAUUUGGAUUCAAAGAAAAUCUGGGGGCACAAGAAAUAAAUCCAAACUAUUGCAAUUCUGGCUAGCACAGUUGAUUAACAAGUGAUCUUGAUUUGAAGAGUGGGGAAAGUUGUGUGGAAAAAAAUGUCCAGAUAUGAAAAGGUGUACAUAGUACCUAUGGGCUGCAGUAGAUUACUUCCCCUCAUGGGACAUGGCAUGCAGAGCUUGAUACACUAGGACUUUUAAGAAACCUCUCAGGAAAAGGAUAUAAAAUACUGGAGUGUUUAAAAGGAGUGAUUUCUCGCUUUUCUGUCUUUCUGAGGUGAGUCUUCUUGGUAGAACUGGCAGGAGUGAUUCAACUGAUCCCCAUCUCUGCGUGGUGAAUUACCAUGCUUGGCACAUGCAGGCUUGUCUGGAUUGCUGCUGCUCAGCCAGUUAGCACAGAAUGAAUUUGCAGAGCAGUUUUCUGACACACGUGAAGCAGCGCCAGUUAUUCAAGUCUUACAUGGAUGAGGAGAAAGCGCCUUUCCUUGUAUUCGGAUGGAGAGCCACCAUUUUCCAUUCGAUCUGUCAGCAAACCUCACUUUCAGAGUUUGAGUCUGAGUUAACUGAGUUUCUUCCAAACUGUCAAAUGGACUCUUUAGCAAUGGAAGAAAAAGGAGACAACAAAAAGAAAAUGGACAGACACUUUGUAAGCUGUCAACUUCUCUGUAUCUUCAAAAACAUCUUUUGGCAUCCGUUGUUCAUUAAAGGACAAAGUAGGACAGAGUUUGCCUCACCACAAAUGCUCCAGGCAUCUAACAAAUAUUGGCAAAAACAGCAACUGGAUGUUUCUUCUGUGCAGUCACUGGGAGUUGUCUACAUAAAGGGAUUGCAUAACUAGGAUGCUGUCUCAGAGGCCGACUGUCAAUCUCUCCACCUCUCCUGUGAGCAGCAGAGAAUGAUUUUGUAGUAAUAAAGAGCUAUGAGAUGCCAGAGAUUUUCAUCUUCUCGUUGACAAGAAAAAAGCCAAAGGAAAUGGAUGUAAGAGAUCCUUGUCUGAAGGGAAGGCAAGAUGCCAUUUUCAUGUAGUUCUAAAACACUCUUCAGUCUCUUCACUUUGACUGUGUAAGAAGCUGCUGCGUCACACAGGAUCAACAUGGAAGAGAAACAAAGGGGCCACAUGUAGGGCAUGCUGUUUCCUGGGGUACUCAUGCUGCCAGUGGGAACCACAAUUACUCACUCACUGUCUGAAGAAGUGGGAUUCUGCUACCAACAUCAGCUGAAGGGGAGUGUGAUCUGCUCUUGCCAUGUCAAAAAUUGGUCAAGAAAGAUACUGAGCUCUUUGCAAAAAUAUGAUUCCAGCUAGAAACAGUGACCAAAAGAGGUUGCAGAGAGUGGCUGAAGAAUUAAAUCAGUUUAAUAAAUGUGUUUCAGCUGCAAGGAGGGCCUAGAUCAUUCAACGUUUUUCCUCUUUUGGUUUUCAGGAUAAACUGGGAUUUGUUGAAUGUCAUUAUCUGAAGGCAACAUCCUUGUUUUGCACCUUAAUUCCAUGGCAGAAGAAUGUACAUCUGCACUCAGUGGAUUUCUAAUGUUGUGCAAAUAGCUUCCCAUAUCCAAAUAGUGUAUGUAUCAGCAGCAGUUACCUGGAGAGCAGUAUGAAACAUACUGUAGUGGAAUAUGAACACAAAGGACUCAAACCAACUUUGUGCAAGGAAAGGUUUAUAACAAACUCUGGAUGUCCAGUGACUCAUUCCAGUGUGGGGGGGACAAAAACAAAUUUGUUUAUAAAUACUGUUGGUAAAAACUACUCUAUUAUGAAAGAAAGGGGGAAGGUAAUGUUUCUUUCCUCUUCACCCCCUCAAUAAAUUUUUACUUCAUAAAGCAAAAGAUGAUACAGUGGUACUUACUUAGGUCUGCAAGUGAGUUUUCUAGCUUGUUGCACACUAAACCCCUUGAGGCACUGAACAUGUGCUUUUGCCAGUAGGUAUUAAUAUGUUUUGCUUCCCACCCUUACACAAGCUAUUUCCACUAGAUCCUUAUUCUUUAAGCAAGAGAGAAAAAGUAAGGGAGACAGGAUAAAUUCCUCUUGAAUAACACAGCUUGUUUCCACAGCCAGAGCUAAGCCAACGGGAGGUCUCUAAAUUAGCUAUUGGAGAAGCAUUUCAGGAUGGUCUGUGUGGUGGAAUGGAGUUGAUAAUAGAAG